ACUCCAUGGCUUUGUUAUGCAACCUGCCUCUAGCCAGCAUUCAGCACAUACUCAUUAUACCCCAUCAGCCGGAAUUUAUUAUUCUGGCUUAUUUCUUCUCGGGAGAGAAGGAGAGAAGAAACAAGUGAACCAGGCAGAAAAGUGAACUAAAGAUGAAGAAAUGAGCAAAGAGAAGAAAGGCUGCAGGAAGGAAUCAAGAGAAGAAUAAAUAAAAGCCGGACAAAGAGAUGAGGUGAAUGAUGACCAAUAGAGGAAGACUAGCAGGAUCCCAGUCCCUGAGUACAUGUCUACCUUGACUUAAUGUCUGCAACAAAUCUGCUUGUGAUGCAAAGUAAGUGUGUGUGUGUGUGUGUGUGUGUGUGUGU